rnacentral:pre_miRNA from 1 species
AUUUGUCUAGAUACGGAUGUAUCAAGUCACAUUUUAGUAUUAGAUACAUCCGUAUCUAGACAAAUCUAAGACAAGAAAUUUGGGACAGAGGGAGUAGUUG